GGGGGGAGCGCUGGAUCUUGGGCUGUGUCCCCGGCGCCCUGUGCUCUCCGGCCUGCGCUGUUGGAGUCGUGCUCCCCGCGAAGCUCCUUCUU
rnacentral:pre_miRNA from 1 species